rnacentral:rRNA from 1 species
AAAAGGUGGCUAUACUACCGCUUUUGGAUGGGCCCGCGGCGCAUUAGCUAGUUGGUAGGGUAAAGGCUUACCAAGGCAAUGAUGCGUAGCCGAAUUGAGAGGUUGAUCGGCCACAUUGGGACUGAGACGCGGCCCAAACUCCUACGGGAGGCAGCAGUAGGGAAUCUUCCACAAUGGGCGAAAGCCUGAUGGAGCAACGCCGCGUGGGUGAAGAAGGUCUUCGGAUCGUAAAACCCUGUUGUUAGAGAAGAAAGUGCGUGAGAGUAACUGUUCACGUUUCGACGGUAUCUAACCAGAAAGCCACGGCUAACUACGUGCCAGCAGCCGCGGUAAUACGUAGGUGGCAAGCGUUAUCCGGAUUUAUUGGGCGUAAAGGGAACGCAGGCGGUCUUUUAAGUCUGAUGUGAAAGCCUUCGGCUUAACCGGAGUAGUGCAUUGGAAACUGGGAGACUUGAGUGCAGAAGAGGAGAGUGGAACUCCAUGUGUAGCGGUGAAAUGCGUAGAUAUAUGGAAGAACACCAGUGGCGAAAGCGGCUCUCUGGUCUGUAACUGACGCUGAGGUUCGAAAGCGUGGGUAGCAAACAGGAUUAGAUACCCUGGUAGUCCACGCCGUAAACGAUGAAUGCUAAGUGUUGGAGGGUUUCCGCCCUUCA